GUGAGGAAUAUUGGUCAAUGGGCGCGAGCCUGAACCAGCCAAGUAGCGUGCAGGACGACGGCCCUAUGGGUUGUAAACUGCUUUUAUGCGGGGAUAAAGUGAGGGAUGCGUCCCUUUUUGCAGGUACCGCAUGAAUAAGGACCGGCUAAUUCCGUGCCAGCAGCCGCGGUAAUACGGAAGGUCCGGGCGUUAUCCGGAUUUAUUGGGUUUAAAGGGAGCGUAGGCCGCCUUUUAAGCGUGUUGUGAAAAACCGGGGCUCAACUCCGGUCGUGCAGCGCGAACUGGAGGGCUUGAGUCCGCAGGAAGUGCGCGGAAUUCGUGGUGUAGCGGUGAAAUGCUUAGAUAUCACGAAGAACCCCGAUUGCGAAGGCAGCGCACUGUAGCGUCACUGACGCUGAAGCUCGAAAGUGCGGGUAUCGAACAGGAUUAGAAACCCUAGUAGUCC
rnacentral:rRNA from 1 species